rnacentral:rRNA from 1 species
GCUUGUCUCAAAGAUUAAGCCAUGCAUGUGUUAGUAUAAACGCCUUUAUACUGUGAAACUGCGAACGGCUCAUUAUAUCAGUUAUAGUUUAUUUGAUACUUUUCGACUAUUGGAUAACCGUAGUAAUUCUAGAGCUAAUACAUGCGCCAAGUCCCGUCUCACGUCGGGAUGUAUUUAUUAGAUGGAAACCAAUGCGGGGCAACCCGGAAUAUGGUGAUUCAUAAUAACUUUCGGAUCGUUUACGAUGCAUCAUUCAAGUUUCUGCCCUAUCAGCUUUGGAUGGUAGGGUAUUGGCCUACCAUGGCUUUAACGGGUAACGGAGAAUUAGGGUUCGAUUCCGGAGAGGGAGCCUGAGAAAUGGCUACCACAUCCAAGGAAGGCAGCAGG